UAGUGAAGGCAGCCAAAUCUGUUCACUAAUGCAAUUACAUCCUGACUUCCAAAAGUGAAAAGCUACCCAGGGUAAGUACUGUGAGUUCUGCACCUAACUCUCCUUUUCCUCUUAGGUCCCAGUACACAGAGACCCACAGCUGGCAUCUGCCGCUCAGAGGGGGAGAUGUCUGCUACCUGCUUUGUCUGAGGUUGGAAGCUAAGCUCGUAGUAGCAAUUAACUCGUGGCUAAUGGUGUUCUGACAACUCUCCAGUCUAAUCCAUCUCUCUUGGUUUAGGCAGUCGUUUCUGCAGCCUUUUCAGCUCCUGAACAUAACGGUUGCACCUCUAACAACCAGCCAUGGGGGUGUUCCCUAUGCUUGUGAACAUGGUGUAGGAGGAAGACUUCCAGUUGAAACAGCUUCGCUAAAGGAACAGUGGAAGGGGCCGUCAUGCCUUUGGCACGUCAUGGGAUGCGAACCUUGCUUUUACAGAAGGGGAAAAUAUCUGCAAAGUAGAACGGCCUGAAUUUCCUUUCCUGAUGGAGGGCGGAGGAAGGAGAUGAAACAAUCUAACGUGCGAUACCCGGUUAGUGCAGCCACCUCUUGCAAAUCGGAUAGCACACAAAAAUGCCCUCUGCAAGGAAACAUCCCCCCGGAAAAAACCUGAGUCCAGGAGCUCGUGGUUUUUCUGGUGUCCCAUGUAGAAAGCAGUGGGGUAACUUGGCUGUUUUGCCCUCGUUUGAGGGGGGGAAACGUCUGAUGCACGGCUCACGCAGUCAGAAAUGAGGAGGAGCUGACGCUGCAAUGUAAACAUGGGUAAACACUUGGGUUGCUUCUCCCUCUGUCACUUCUCCAUGCCCGCAUAAGGUGGGUCGUGACCCAAAAAGCAAGCACCAGCUCCCUGCGGGGACCAGGCACGCAGUGCUGAGAGUGAAGUUAAGGUUUCGACGGGUUUCAGUGUCUGGUGAGUAACGGCAAUCGCUUGAAGUCACUGGCACGGUGGCUGCACCUCGGUGGGCAGCAGGAAUCGCCCCCACGAGCCCCUCGCCUUGCAGCAGACAGGAAUACACCACCGAGAAAGGAUCGGGGAGCGGUUUGUUCUGAUCCUGGCUGUACCGUUAUCCUCCAACGUGUUAUCAAUUCCUUAGUGAUAAAAAAUAAGCCCAAAUAUUUGGGUUUUCCAUGCUCCCUGGAGCACCCAGCCGCGCCUUUCAGGCGCUCCGUCUGGGUGCUGGGUUCUCCGAGUGCCAGCUGCGGUUGGUUUUUGGGGCUGGUGCAGAACCAGGGGAGCCUUUGCUGGACCUCAGCACCUGCUGGGGGUGCGCACCCAGCUGGCUCCGUGCUCCCGCAGCUGCUCUUCUGGAUCUUAAUAAAAGCACUGUGCUGCCUGGGGGGGAGAAGUAGGGCUCCAAAACUCACUGGAGAGCCACAGAGCCAGCGCUGUGUCCAAACUGGCGAGCGGAAAAUCCCUGCAGAGCUCUAGGCUUUGCCCACGCUGCUGUCCCCAUUCCCUGUGCUCCUGGUUAUUGUCCUGCUGCGGAAAGGCAGGCUUCUCCUUUUUUACGAUGAAAUUGAGCCGGUAAAGCAAACAGAGUUAGUUCCAAGGAGGAAGGCCUCUUUUAAACCCCUUGUUUAUGCCUGCUCCAGCGAGCAGGGUGCCGAGCUUGCCUCCUCAAACCGCAGGACCCCCCCAGCUUGUGCCGCAGCCCUGUGCCAGGCGAGGGCUCGGUGUUUGGCCGGGGGGGCCUUGGGGGGGUCUCGAAGCAGCCCCUUGCCACCCCCGGCCAGCAGCAUCCUGCCUGCUCUCGGAGGUGCGCAGCGGUUGUGGUUUGGUAAAGAUCUGACAUACACGAUAGCAGCUGGAAUUCCUUGACACGACGAUGCUGAAAGCGGGGCGUGGGGUAAAGCAGCUGCUGGGCAGUGGGGUUUCGCUGCCCCCCCCCCCCGGGUCUGUUCUGCGAGGGGACAGCUUCGUUGCAACAGUCUUUUCCUUCAGGUUUGGUUUUGUUCCUUCGUGGCAACGGGUUUGAGCUGGUUCAUCGGUCCCAGCAUCGCCGGGAGAACCGCAGGUUGUUCUUGUUGUGCUCUGUGCAUUGUGAAAUCCUCUGCUUUGCCAACAAAUAAUUUGUAAAAAAUCCCAACUGUGCUGUUGGUUGGUUUGUGUUGAAGACUGAAGGCCAGAGCCAUCUGGACAGUAGAAAUUCCCCAUUAACCUUUUGUCCUCUUCCAGUCUCAAGACUGCUCGUGUUUUGGUGUGUUGUGGUUUGCUGCUUUUUUCCCUCUCUUUUGGAACCUGAUCCUUCAGGACAGUCAUUGUGUGAAGUGUAUCUUACGAAGAAACCAGAGUUUCUAGUGGUGUCUCCCCUGAGUAGUUUCAGCAAAUUUCAUUAGGCACCUUCAAAAAAAGCUUCCGUAAUUCUCGGUUUUGCUACAAGAACUGGUCCCUCGGGGGAACCAAAAUGCUGCUUUAAAAACAAACAAACAAAACAUACAAAGAAAAAAAAAACAUUCAUCCUGAAAAUAAACUCAAACCAUCGAGUCCUUUGUUCGUAACCUCUCAGUCCCCCUAAUUCCAGAUCAGCAGAAGACGCCGUUGAGAUGUUCCCCUGUAGCGUACCCGGGAGCCGGGACCCCCCCAGCACCCCCCUGGAGGCGUGAGGAGGAGGAGGGUGGCGGAGGAA